AAAUAAAAAGUACAACAGUUUUCUCUAAAAUUAACUUGGUAAUUCGGUUGAAGAGGAUCUUAAUUGGUCCUAGAACGGCCUGAGGUAGAGGGGUUUUAGUCGGUAGGUCUGAGGACUUCUUCCUCGGGAAUCCGACACUACCCAGUCGUACGGACGGCUGAGUGUCUUUCAAAGAUUUCCCCUCUUCCACGACA
rfam:Agrilus planipennis Contig47552, whole genome shotgun sequence.